GACGAACGCUGGCGGCGUGCUUAACACAUGCAAGUCGAACGGAAAGGCCCUGCUUUUGUGGGGUGCUCGAGUGGCGAACGGGUGAGUAACACGUGAGUAACCUGCCCUUGACUUUGGGAUAACUUCAGGAAACUGGGGCUAAUACCGGAUAGGAGCUCCUGCUGCAUGGUGGGGGUUGGAAAGUUUCGGCGGUUGGGGAUGGACUCGCGGCUUAUCAGCUUGUUGGUGGGGUAGUGGCUUACCAAGGCUUUGACGGGUAGCCGGCCUGAGAGGGUGACCAGCCACAUUGGGACUGAGAUACGGCCCAGACUCCUACGGGAGGCAGCAGUGGGGAAUAUUGCACAAUGGGCGGAAGCCUGAUGCAGCAACGCCGCGUGCGGGAUGACGGCCUUCGGGUUGUAAACCGCUUUCGCCUGUGACGAAGCGUGAGUGACGGUAAUGGGUAAAGAAGCACCGGCUAACUACGUGCCAGCAGCCGCGGUGAUACGUAGGGUGCGAGCGUUGUCCGGAUUUAUUGGGCGUAAAGGGCUCGUAGGUGGUUGAUCGCGUCGGAAGUGUAAUCUUGGGGCUUAACCCUGAGCGUGCUUUCGAUACGGGUUGACUUGAGGAAGGUAGGGGAGAAUGGAAUUCCUGGUGGAGCGGUGGAAUGCGCAGAUAUCAGGAGGAACACCAGUGGCGAAGGCGGUUCUCUGGGCCUUUCCUGACGCUGAGGAGCGAAAGCGUGGGGAGCGAACAGGCUUAGAUACCCUGGUAGUCCACGCUGUAAACGGUGGGUACUAGGUGUGGGGUCCAUUCCACGGGUUCCGUGCCGUAGCUAACGCUUUAAGUACCCCGCCUGGGGAGUACGGCCGCAAGGCUAAAACUCAAAGGAAUUGACGGGGCCCCGCACAAGCGGCGGAGCAUGCGGAUUAAUUCGAUGCAACGCGUAGAACCUUACCUGGGUUUGACAUGGAUCGGGAGUGCUCAGAGAUGGGUGUGCCUCUUUUGGGGUCGGUUCACAGGUGGUGCAUGGCUGUCGUCAGCUCGUGUCGUGAGAUGUUGGGUUAAGUCCCGCAACGAGCGCAACCCUUGUUCACUGUUGCCAGCACGUUAUGGUGGGGACUCAGUGGAGACCGCCGGGGUCAACUCGGAGGAAGGUGGGGAUGACGUCAAGUCAUCAUGCCCCUUAUGUCCAGGGCUUCACGCAUGCUACAAUGGCUGGUACAGAGAGUGGCGAGCCUGUGAGGGUGAGCGAAUCUCGGAAAGCCGGUCUCAGUUCGGAUUGAGGUCUGCAACUCGACCUCAUGAAGUCGGAGUCGCUAGUAAUCGCAGAUCAGCAACGCUGCGGUGAAUACGUUCCCGGGGCU
rnacentral:rRNA from 1 species